UACCCAAUUAAGCCCCAUCUAACCUUCUUUCUCCUCUCUAAGAAAAAUGGAGAUAAACUGAUUUUGAUUUUGUGAACACAGAUCAAACCCAGUUACAGAAUCCUCUGUUACUUACCGAAAUCAUCAAAGUCAAUAACUGAUUUUGUAAACCUAGAAAGCGGUAUAAAAAAAACCUAUUUGCAAAAAUCAAAAUCUUUGAUUUUGUAAACCUGGAAAUUAAUUUUCACUCUUAGCUCGAAACUCUUAGAAAAAAAUUGAAUUUUUAGAAGUAAAAACCCUUGAAGAUCUCUAACCUCAGAAGAAGAUCUAAAUGCAAAUUAUAGAAGAUUCAAGUACAAAUCCUGGAAGGUUCAGCUUAAAGUGGGUAUGGUUCAAAGCUUUUCAUGGAUCUGUUACGGGAUAAGGUUCAUACAAUCAAUUUUUUGCGGGAUAAGAUUCAUACAAUCAAUUUUUUGGCUUGCAUUUUACUACUGGGAUUAUAGGUCUAAAUUGCUAUACCCAUUGGAAUCACUAAAGCAACAAUCUAAAUUACUCAUCAUUAUCCUAGUGUUUGUGCCUACGAUAACAACAUAUACAUGAUGUUAUAGGAGCUUGAGGGCAUGGGACAAUGUUUUCAUGCUAUUGUUGUUAUAAUCUUCCUAAGGGACUUGCAUUUCUUCUUCAGGUAAGAGAUUUCUUUGUCAAGUAGCUAUGGACUUAUGGUGUUGUCAUGCCUAAACACCAUUGGCAGUUUCAGAUAUUCUUUUUUCUUCUCUUUGCGGAGGCAGAACUGGUGAAAACUACAGUACCCUAUAAUAAAUCUGGAUGGGAAUAGAAAAGACAGACUGAACUUGGUAACGAGACAAAUCUGUAAUUCUUACAUUACCGCGAGUUACUGUAAACCAGAACUGAUGUUUUAGAUAAGAAUGUGAAUUCAUCGACUAAAAUUGUAGCCUUGUAGGAAGAGUAGAAUCUUAACCAAGCAAUCAAAACAAAUUUGAUAUGUUCUCGUCCUCUUUGGUGUCUCUUCUGCGUUCUUUCACUUUGUCUAGUGUCGACCAAUCUGGAGUGGAGUAUAAUAAUUUGUAUUUUCUUAAAGGGCCACGCACACUAACAUGAUUAAAAAAUUUCUUAUAAUACUACUGGUAGUAUUUUUUGGUUUGGAGCUUGUCGUAUCUUUUACGUGUCUAUUGUGUUUGCACUAUACUGACUGAGUUAACAUCUUAAUACAAUCUGGGCUUUAGCUUUCUCCGAUAACUUGAGUUUAGUUGGUGGUUGCUUGUUUCUCACAAGCACUUAAAUUAUCUCUUGUGCACAUGCUUAGUACUGAUUUCAUUCGCUUCUGUAUUUCUAUUUUUAUGUAUGUUUAUAUUAGAAGUUGACUGAAAGUCCACCCACGUUUUAUAUGCAUUCUAUGAUAUACUUCAAAUGGAAAUCCACGCCUCCUAGAUUCUUUGCAUUACAUGAACCCCUAUUAGAAAGUGAGAAAUUAUUCUUUGAUGGACCGGUCUCUCAAUGUUCUAAUUUGAGUGGAAGCAGGACUUACUCUGAGGUGAAGAUGAGCAAAAUACCCGACUGUUGUUGAACUUUGAUGGACACAUUAUGUGUAACCUUGAAAAUUUGCCUAUCUUUGUUCUCGCAUUAUAAAGAGAGAACAUUCUGUUUUUUUCCAGGUUGACGGAAUUCAAGGUAUUUUGAAAGCAUACGACGGCGCCCUGCAUGAUGUACAAUUGAUAUAAUGUAUUAUGUUGUAUUUAGAUAUUGAUGUACUCUCACUUGGGAGAUUUGGUUCCUUCCACGAGGUUGUAAGUAAUUGGUAGUGCUCUGUCACUGUGAGUCGUUUAGUUUUAGUCGAUUAAUCUUUAAUGAAGUAGUGCCAUGAAUGAUAACAGAUAAAUUUUUGUAAUCAGGUUGGUGUUGGUUUGAUGGUGUUUCAACAUUUUGGAGGAAUCAAUGGAGUUUCAUUUUACCUAAGCCACAUAUUCAUAUCUGCAGUGGUUUCCUAGUUGGAGUUGAGAAGCUUUUGUCCAAGAAGAGUUGAGGCUGCAGAAAAAGAUCAAGUAGACGUUAUCCUGAAUUUUGGUGGGUGCAGAGCCAGAAAAUUUGUUUUCUAGCUUCUUAGAUGGUACCUUUACUUCCAAACAAUUAAAAUUGUGUGUUUCUAUUGAAGGAUCUUGUAUUUGAAAUUUGUGUAACAAGUCUAGUUUCACUCCCUGUUACUGGUCUUAUGGAAAGAUCGGAACAAGAUGUUCAUGUGCAGAAAAUGAAAUUGUUCAGGUGCAGGAAAUUAUGGU